UUAAUCCCAAGGUCUUGAACUCAGAGA
rnacentral:piRNA from 1 species